GACGAACGCUGGCGGCGUGCUUAACACAUGCAAGUCGAACGGAAAGGCCCUGCUUUUGUGGGGUGCUCGAGUGGCGAACGGGUGAGUAACACGUGAGUAACCUGCCCUUGACUUUGGGAUAACUUCAGGAAACUGGGGCUAAUACCGGAUAGGAGCUCCUGCUUCUUGGUGGGGGUUGGAAAGUUUCUGCGGUUGGGGAUGGACUCGCGGCUUAUCAGCUUGUUGGUGGGGUAGUGGAUUACCAAGGCUUUGGCGGGUAGCCGGCCUGAGAGGGUGACCGGCCCCAUGGGGACUGGGAGACGGCCAAGACUCUAACGGGAGGCAGGCGGGGGGAAUAUUGGAUAAUGGGCGGAGGCAUGAUGGAACAACGCCGCGUGCGGGAUGACGGCAGUCGGGUUGUAAAGCGAUUUCGCCUGUGACGAAUGUUGAGUGAGGGUCAUGGGUAAAGAAGCACCGGCUAACUACGU
rnacentral:rRNA from 1 species